rnacentral:tRNA from 1 species
GCCUGGGUGGCUCAAUCGGUUAAGCAUCUGCCUUCAGCUCAGGUAGUGAUCUCAGGGUCCUGGGAUUGAGUCCCAAUUCAGGCU